AGAGAGCAGAGGGGGGCAAUCUCGCCCUCUCACACCUUCUCCAGGGAAGCCUGUGAAGAAGCCCUCCAUCCCUGGGGUGAGCAUCCGGCGGCUGGUGGAGGAGAUCCCCAAAGGCUGCAGCACGCGACUUUGAGCAGAAGCCCAUCACCUUGGCUCUGCAGGAGGGUGAGCCCUGGGCAGCACUGCUGAGGGAAGGCCGGAUCCCUGCUCUCCUACCUCCCAGCACACACAAAGGAGAGAGCCUGGGCACCCACCUUCCUGAGGAUCCAUCACCAGCCUAUUUCUCGUCUCCCUUGUAUGCUUGGGGGUGUCUGCCUACCUGGAUCCCUACAAGGGACAAGGAGCCUCGGAGCACGAUGGGCAAAAGGCGUGUAAGAAAUAUCAGACUAGGAUGGGGAAGUGAUGAACUGAGGAGCAGGGCGAGGCGGUAGUGUUUCUUAGUCCUCCCUUCUCCUGCCUGCCUCACAACCAUUGUUGCAGAGACCGAGGCAAAAAACAUUUCCUCUCAAACUUUUUUCCAGUCAGUCACAUGCUCGGUGAUUCACGGGCAGGGCUCAGGAAGGCCAUUCUAGAAGGCUACAGGAAAAAAGUGCAGGGAAGAUGGCAUACAUUAAAAUCUCAGUAUACUGUGAAGGCCUCCCCACCGGCCUCUUCUGGCUGCAGGGAAAAAUGCCAUCUUCGGGGCUGUGGUCUGCAGGGACCCCAGACCGCAGGUGCACUGGCUGAGCACCAAAGGAGACCUCAGCAACUCCAGCAAGUACCAGAUCUCCUCGGCCCCUGGAGAGUGUGCUGCAGUGCCCUCCUUGCCUCCCUGUUGGUCCAGUUGGCUUUCGGAAGAACCAGAAGAGACUAAAGGAACCCCAGGAGGGUAAAUGAACAAACCCAGAAUCUCCCUCCUUGCCUGGUAUUCCCAUCUGGUCAAGCACCCCACCUGCAAAGGGGGUCUCAUUCCUUCUCCUUUUCUAGACCUCAGGAAGGAAAUGAUGGACUUCAGGAAGAUGCUGAAAAAGAGGUGAGUCUGGGCCUGUCCCAGGGCCAGUUUGGACCCCUUUCUCCUCCUGGAAAUAAGCUUC
rnacentral:lncRNA from 1 species